GAUGAACGCUGGCGGCGUGCCUAAUACAUGCAAGUCGAGCGAACGGACGAGAAGCUUGCUUCUCUGAUGUUAGCGGCGGACGGGUGAGUAACACGUGGAUAACCUACCUAUAAGACUGGGAUAACUUCGGGAAACCGUAGCUAAUACCGGAUAAUAUUUUGAACCGCAUGGUUCAAAAGUGAAAGACGGUCUUGCUGUCACUUAUAGAUGGAUCCGCGCUGCAUUAGCUAGUUGGUAAGGUAACGGCUUACCAAGGCAACGAUGCAUAGCCGAACUGAGAGGGGGGUAGGCCACCUGGGAAGUGAAACAGCGACCAGGGUACUAAGGGACGGACCAGAAGGGAACCUGACGCAACGGGGGGAAACCUGGCGGAGCAAGCGGGAGGCAGAUGCAGAGGCGCUGCGAUCGGAAAAACCGGCUUCUAGGGGAGAACCAAUUUGGAAGGUAACGUGGCGUUAGUGACGGUAACGAAUAAAGAAGCCACGGCUAACUACGUG
rnacentral:rRNA from 1 species